rnacentral:lncRNA from 1 species
AAAAAUACAAAAAACAAAAAUAAGAACGGAAGGAAAAAAGAAAAAGAAAAGAAAGAGAAAAGGAAAAAACCAGAAAAGAAAAACCAAAAAGAUAAAUUUAAAUGAAAGCAAAAAAGAACCCAAAAAAAGGAAGGAAAAAGAACAAGAAAAGAAAAAGGAAAAAAAAGCGAAAGGAAAAAAGAACCAGAAAAUAAAAGCAAAAAAGAUAAAUUUAAAUGAAAGGAUAAAAGAACAAAAAACAAAAAUUAAAA